rnacentral:rRNA from 1 species
UACUACUUCCCGUGAGGAAAGUUGCAAAGUUUUUUGAAGAGAGAGUUAAACAGGACGUGAAACCGAUGAGGUGGAAACGGACAGAGUCGAGCGUAUCUGGCCUGUAUUCAACUGGAGACCCAAGCACAUUGGGUAGGCCUUUUCUCAGAUUGGACAGGCGAUCCAACUGUUUGGGAGUGUUACGGUGCAUUUGCAAGUGGAGUGCGCUGAGGUGGUCGGGUUAGCUGCUUGAUCUCGGGUUUGAGGCCAGCCCCUCGGGGUAUGGUACCCGGCUCGGGGGAGUGCUGUUUAGCCUGUUCAACUUGUAUGGAAAUGGUAUCGGGUCCGGCUGGUAUCCAUCUAACAACUGGUGGCGGUCGCAUGCGACACGUACUAGUGGUUGGUUGGGUCCUGGUCUGGCUCCCAUGUUUUCCAAUCCUCGGUGUAAAAACCGGUCAUCUGUCCGACCCGUCUUGAAACACGGACCAAGGAGUUUAGCGUGUGCGCGAGUCAUUGGGUGUUGGAAACCCAAAGGCGCAAUGAAAGUGAAGGUCUCUCUUGUGGAGCUGAUGUGUGACCCGGGUCACCGAGGUGGCCCGGAGCAACAUGGUCCCGUCCUGAUCGCUUGCGAUGGGGCGGAGACAGAGCGUACGCGCUGAGACCCGAAAGAUGGUGAACUAUUCCUGAGCAGGACGAAGCCAGAGGAAACUCUGGUGGAAGUCCGAAGCGAUUCUGACGUGCAAAUCUCUCGUCUGACUUGGGUAUAGGGGCGAAAGACUAUUAUUCCAAACCAUCUAGUAUCUUGCCCCCAUCACAA